rnacentral:rRNA from 1 species
CCCCUCUAGAGAUAGAGUUUUCCCCUUCGGGGGACAGAGUGACAGGUGGUGCAUGGUUGUCGUCAGCUCGUGUCGUGAGAUGUUGGGUUAAGUCCCGCAACGAGCGCAACCCUUAAGCUUAGUUGCCAUCAUUAAGUUGGGCACUCUAAGUUGACUGCCGGUGACAAACCGGAGGAAGGUGGGGAUGACGUCAAAUCAUCAUGCCCCUUAUGAUUUGGGCUACACACGUGCUACAAUGGACAAUACAAAGGGUAGCGAAACCGCGAGGUCAAGCAAAUCCCAUAAAGUUGUUCUCAGUUCGGAUUGUAGUCUGCAACUCGACUAUAUGAAGCUGGAAUCGCUAGUAAUCGUAGAUCAGCAUGCUACGGUGAAUACGUUCCCGGGUCUUGUACACACCGCCCGUCACACCACGAGAGUUUGUAACACCCGAAGCCGGUGGAGUAACCAUUUGGAGCUAGCCGUCGAAGGUGGGACAAAUGAUUGGGGUGAAGUCGUAACAAGGUAGCCGUAUCGGAAGGUGCGGCUGGAUCACCUCCUUUCUA